rnacentral:rRNA from 1 species
GCUUAACACAUGCAAGUCGAGCGCACUCUUUUAGAGUGAGCGGCAAACGGGUGAGUAACGCGUGGGAAUCUACCCAUCUCUACGGAAUAACACAGAGAAAUUUGUGCUAAUACCGUAUACGUCCUAUUUGGAGAAAGAUUUAUCGGAGAUGGAUGAGCCCGCGUUGGAUUAGCUAGUUGGUGAGGUAACGGCUCACCAAGGCGACGAUCCAUAGCUGGUCUGAGAGGAUGAUCAGCCACACUGGGACUGAGACACGGCCCAGACUCCUACGGGAGGCAGCAGUGGGGAAUAUUGGACAAUGGGGGCAACCCUGAUCCAGCCAUGCCGCGUGAGUGAUGAAGGCCCUAGGGUUGUAAAGCUCUUUCACCGGUGAAGAUAAUGACGGUAACCGGAGAAGAAGCCCCGGCUAA